CGGUUAAAAAGCUCGUAGUUGGAUUUCUGUUGAGGUCGGGCGGUGUGCACCUCGUGCAUUAUUUGCUUCGGUCUCGGCAUCCUCUUGGGGAACGUCUCAGGACUUUAUUGGACUGGGCGAGAUUCAAGACUUUUACUUUGAGGAAAUUAGAGUGUUCACGGCAGGCAAGUGCUUUGAAUACAUUAGCAUGGAAUAAUAAUAUAGGACCUUCGUUCUAUUUUGUUGGUUUCUAGAACUUAGGUAAUGAUUAAUAGGGACAAUUGGGGGCAUUCGUAUUAACGCGUCAGAGGUGGAAUUCUUGGAUUGCGUUACGACGAACUACUGCGAAAGCAUUUGCCAAAGAUGUUUUCAUUGAUCAAGAACGAAAGUAUGGGGAUCGAAGACGCUUAGAUACCGUCGUAGUCUAUACCAUAAACUAUGCCAACUAGAGAUCGGUGGGGUUAUCCUAUGUGGCUCCAUCGGCAUCUUAUGAGAAAUCAAAGUUUUUGGGUUCCCGGGGGA
rnacentral:rRNA from 1 species